rnacentral:rRNA from 1 species
AGCUCCAAUAGCGUAUAUUAAAGUUGUUGCGGUUAAAACGCUCGUAGUUGGAUAUCUGCCAGCACAGGGUGCUCCGCCCAAGGGGUGUGUAGCCAUCAGUGUGCUGGCAUCAUCCUGGGUAGUGCAUCUGCACUUCAUUGUGCGGGGCAUGAGCCAGGGCAUUUACUUUGAGGAAAUGAGAGUGCUUCAAGCAGGCGUGCGCCGUGAAUACGUUAGCAUGGAAUAAUAGUAUCGGACCUCGUCCCAAAGCUGUUGGUUUCUUGGGGCGUGGUAAGGAUGAAUAGGGAUUGUUGGGGGCAUUCGUAUUUAACUGUCAGAGGUGAAAUUCUUGGAUUUGUUGAAGACGCACUACUGCGAAAGCAUCUGCCAAAGAUGUUCUCA